rnacentral:rRNA from 1 species
GAUGAACGCUAGCGGCAGGCCUAAUACAUGCAAGUCGGACGGGAUCCAUCGGUAGCUUGCUACCGAUGGUGAGAGUGGCGCACGGGUGCGUAACGCGUGAGCAACCUGCCCAUAUCAGGGGGAUAGCCCGGAGAAAUCCGGAUUAACACCGCAUGACACUGCUUUCCGGCAUCGGGGAGCGGUCAAAUAUUCAUAGGAUAUGGAUGGGCUCGCGUGACAUUAGCUAGUUGGUGGGGUAACGGCCCACCAAGGCGACGAUGUCUAGGGGCUCUGAGAGGAGAAUCCCCCACACUGGUACUGAGACACGGACCAGACUCCUACGGGAGGCAGCAGUAAGGAAUAUUGGUCAAUGGGGGCAACCCUGAACCAGCCAUGCCGCGUGCAGGACGACUGCCCUAUGGGUUGUAAACUGCUUUUGUUAGGGAAUAAACCCCGCUACGUGUAGCGGGCUGAAUGUACCUAAAGAAUAAGGAUCGGCUAACUCCGUG